GACGUAGGGCGUGAGCGUUGUCCGGAUUUAUUGGGCGUAAAGAGCUCGUAGGCGGCUUGUCGCGUCGUCCGUGAAAACCUGCAGCUCAACUGCAGGCUUGCGGUCGAUACGGGCAGGCUAGAGUUCGGUAGGGGAGACUGGAAUUCCUGGUGUAGCGGUGAAAUGCGCAGAUAUCAGGAGGAACACCGGUGGCGAAGGCGGGUCUCUGGGCCGAUACUGACGCUGAGGAGCGAAAGCGUGGGGAGCGAACAGG
rnacentral:rRNA from 1 species